rnacentral:lncRNA from 1 species
GAUUAGUAGAAGGUGUUAGUAAGGCCCUCCAAUAGACCACUCAAUGAUUUUUAGAUCCAACUGUUUAUAUAGUAAGUUCGGAUAUUUAAUUAAUAAAUUGAAGUUGCCUUAAGAUAUGCAUAGUAAAUCACAAGACCAAAGUGGAAUAACCAUUAGACAACUAAUAAAACCAUCAUUAAGUUUUUGUCUACUUUUAGCAAUAUUGCUUAGGUUUUCUAUUUCGUCUAAAUAUAUCUUAAGCGGCUCAUAUGUCCAAAUUACCCACACAGUGAAUAAAUGUCGUUCCAGUUCAAGGAUUCAUGUGGAGUUGUCACACACUAGUGUGAACCCAUCAAGUGUGUGUCUUGCUUCCCUUUUCAAUCAACAAGCUACCUCCCUGAUUUGAAUAUAAUAAACUUAAAUGCUUCAGUUUCUAUGGUCCAUUGUUAUGUGAUGGACAUGAAAAAUGAAAAAUAUAGCCUACAAUGUUCAAAAUGCAUCUGAAGUACUAGGGUAUAAAAUAAGCUCACUGCCAUCCAAGUACAAGGGUUAACAACUAGAAAUAUAACCUUUAUUGCUAUCUGUAAACAAAAUAUGCCUGUUGAAUUACAUGUCGGGAAAGGUGAAUGCACGGAUUAACGGCUAGUAUUAGCUAAUUUUGUUGUCUUUUUUGUUAAUAACUAGGUUUCCAAUGCCAAACUCUGCGUAAGGGUUCAGCAACUGGCUACAUAUUGGAAAGGAGUUACUGUUGGUGGCUAGCCCUCAUAAGAGAUAACUAUUUCAUUCCUGAUGCCUUCCAUGCCUAUGGAUGUACCGCGUGCUCGAGUAAGCUAUGCUUGCAGAUGGAUCUUAAACCUGAUGUCAAAUUGUUUAUAAUUGAAAGAGUUUGCUGUUUGUCUGCUUUAGGGAAGAUGGGUAGCACGUUUAUAUGCCAUUAAUUCUCAUGAAAGAGUGCAUAUACCAUGUUUGUCGCAGCAAGAUGAGGCUGUAGAGUAGUAGAAGUGUAGAACAAUGGUACAGGUUGUAUGAAUAAUUUAUUGAAGGGAAUCAUAGACGCCACAGCCACUGAAGCUGUCGGGGCAUGAUUAGCCAAUGGUCUAAUUCCUGAUAUCUCCGUAUCCUAAUUUUCUGAAGCCUUACGGACUCUACCCUCCUCACUUCAUAUAUAUUAGUGUUUAUAAUAGCGGUUUUAUAAGAAGUGCUGAAGGUAUUGGUCCUGCUAUAUCUUGCUUCCACUACCGGAUUUGUGUACGAAAUAUUAAUUCUUGAGAUUUGUCAAUGAUUUUAGGAAGCAAUGAUACCUUCAACUACCGGAUUGCAUAUAUAAGUUAGUCUUAGCCAGUUAUAUAUCAGAGGAGGAAGCACGCAUUAAAUAAUAAAUAACUCAUGUUGAUUCAAUUGGUAACCUGGCCUCUAAAAAGAAAAGGACUCUGUGCUCAAAAAAUGAAAAAAAGUAGCCUGCUAAUAACAAUGUCGACACUUUACAUCUGAGCAGCUAGCUCCGUGAUGCUUUAUCUGGCUAGUGAACUACCUACCUAUGUUAUUUAAACAUUUUUGCUGCCUAUAAAUUGGGCAUCAUUUCAGCAGACCACCACAGCACCUGAGCUUGCCAUCUUUUCCUGUUCUAUCUCACUCAUUUGUCCUGUAGCUACUAGCUAAGCCACCAUAUCAUCCAUGGCUUCCGGUGCCUCCACCACGUUGAAGAUUGCCUCUAUCGCCGCUUGCAUCCUGCUGGUUCUGCUGUCCAAUGGCCACCCUACAGUGGCGACCGUUGAUUGUACUGCGGCUUGCAAAGAGCCGUGCGAGAGCUUUUCUAAGGGAUUCUGCGCGGGUGGAGCCACCAGCGGUUGUGCGACUAAGGCAGCAGCUACAGCAUGCCGCAAUUCGGCGUUCUCGCAGUGUGCGAACAACUGCUACACAGUUUGCACCGCCGGGACCAUCGCGCCUUGCGCUUGAAGAUGCAUUUGUGUUCCUACUUCCACAUUAUUGUUACUGGUGAGUGUGUGCAAGCAGGCCUGCCGUCCACGGGAGGAGGCACGCAAGCACGCAUGAUAAGCCACUGUCAUUUUUCCACUUUAUCAUUUACUUAUUGAAGGCAAUGUACGUGCCUAGCUCCUGUGUGGUUGAGCAUGUCAUCUUGGAAUUUUGUCCAAAGUUUAACAUACCAUGUUGUAUUGUUGUGUAUGGGUAUCAAUAUAAUUUAUCAACUAUUUUGCGUUUACCAUAGACAUUUCUAUGUUUAUUUGCAAGGGUUAGGGAAAUUUGUCCUUGAUAGUGUACUAACCGCGUCUGCCAACUGAACAGAUCAACUUUCUCAACAGCCUAUCUCCUCCUUGAAAAAAUAUUCGUUUUAGAAAUGGUUUGUUUCUUUUCUGUAUAGCUCUAUCACCCAUCACCGUGAGGGUUACAAAACUCGGCGCAAGCGUUCCAAGCUGUGGCGCCACAAACCACAUAAGCUGUGGCGCAAGGGUUCUAGCUGGCUAGUCACAAAAAACUAUUUCAUCCCGGAUGUCUUCCAUGCCCAUGGACCUGCCGCUUUCUUGAUCGAGUAAUCUAUGCCCAUGAAAGGGUUCGGUAUUUGUCUGAUCGAGGAAGACGAGGUAGCACAUUUAUGUGAAAGCAGUACUGGCGGACAUGAUGGUCGGUGGCCUAUUGAUUAUCUUCCAACUCCUUUAUGCCAUUAUCAGUACUACAGAAAUCAUUUGUAGGGGUGAAGUGUUUUUUUUUAGGGUGGACCAAAAGGUCUGCCGCCCCCAGGGGCGGAGCUACAGUCAACCAUCGAUGAUUUGGUCGCGAGCUCUUAUAUCCUUCCCAGGAGAACUGCCCAUACGUUGCUACGGAUAAAAAUAAUGUAUAUAAUUACAUUAAUCAUGAUUUGUUAUUUCAAAUGUGUGACAUAUUAUCGAAUUUACGUAUCUUUCUAUGCAUUUUUCGAACAAAGAGAUAUUUUUAUAAUAAUUUUAUCAGAUUAACAUGAGACAUAAUCUUCUAUGGUAUAUUAUGUACUCUAGUAUGUAAAUCUUAUGUUUGUUUGUGUAGUCUUCUACGUUGCUCGCUUUUUAUAAUAAAAGUAGAGAGAGGUGUGCGCCUGUGAACAACAAAAACCCAAAAAUGUACACAAUAAUCAAUAAAUUAUAAUUAUUAUUUUUUCCUAGAAUAAAAAUAUGGACUCAUCGAGCCCAUGAAAAGCGCAAGGAGGUGGCCCGGCAGCCCCAUCCAUCCAUCCAUUGUUAUCCACACUUGCUAAACAAAUGAAUUAAAAACAUAAUUUUAUCAACACAAGAGACGGAUUAAUUGUUUGGUACUGAACUUUCUUGGACGUUGCUGUUGCUGGAUUCGGCAUUAGGAAGGCGUCGCUCGGCCGUGCAGAGGUGCCAUUGUGGCUUUGUGGAGGCACCCCUACGUUGUGUCGGAGCGGAGCUGCAGGCAGCGUAAGCGGCCGGGUAGCACGCCACAACAUGCUAGAGACAGCGCCGAGCCUUGAGCCUUCGACUGGGGCUGCUUAUAGAGCCAACACCGCUCUGUAUCUUGCUCAGUGGAUGCGCGGACGACGGCGAGCGGCGCCUAGGAGAACUGCAAAUGCUCCUGCACACAUGCCCCAUGGGCCGGAACUGCACACUAACCCCCGCGAACGAUGGUAGUAGGGCAACAAAGCUGGCCAUGGCGCUGCUCGUUGAGCUUUCCGUGUGCGCGAACAGGCAUUUGAUAUGUUCCCUACAAAAUUAAAGGUUGUUUGAUUCAACGGUCAAAUAGUGCGAGCAUGUUAAUUGAUGCGAGUGUAUUGUGGGAACUGCCAAGGAACUGCAGGGCAUCGAGCAAGCAGUGGUGUUGCUCGGAAGUACCAGCACUAACGCGCUUUCCGAUGUGUCUCCAGCGGGGGUGGCAGCGUCUGCCUGCUGGGCAGCAGUUUCACCCUAUUCUGGGCAUCUCCCCACCCGUCUUGGCCAUCAUUACCUCUAGCAUCGUUAAGGUAUGGCUUCCUUUCAGCCUCGGCCGUUUCUUUCUCCAAUGACCGGUUAAAAGAUCAUUAUCUAAUCAACCAUUCACGUCGCCCAUAGUGUAGGCAACAGGCCAUUCUAUUGCGAUCCUCUGUCGCCUAUCGCUUCCCUUGAGAAUUUGAAGUCAGAAAUUCUUUUGUUUCAAUUUUGCUAGGUCCACUAGUUUUCUUAAAUCAGAAUCAAGUUGAAACCAGAAGAGCCUUGUUAGCUUCUUUGAUCUAUACUUCGUUGUAGCAAAUGUACAAUGACAACUCAUAUAAUGGUUGUUUCAUAUUCGAUCUGCAAGUCUUCUUCUCAUUCACACGAUGGAUGGCCAUAGGCACAAAGAGAAUUGAAGUAGUAGACCAUAAUCACUAUAGUAAAAGCUUAAAAUCUCAAAAUAUGUCAUCAUUUAUUUUUCAUUAUGCUAAAAGAUGGAGAUGAGGGCACACAGUCGUAGCUGCAAGUAAGGCCAACAGGCUCAAGGCCAUGGCUUUACAGCCAGCAGUCUUGCCUUGCAUGCACUCACGGACUAUUACCGGACUAGCAAUUGGUACUUUGACGCACUAUAUGGACCCUUACAAAAUUAAAAAAAUGAACGUCAACAAGCAAAUGAAACUGCAUGAACUGAAGUAGGGAAAUGAAGACCACGUACAGUUCUUAUUGAAGCUGAAAUGUAUGUCAUAAAAGUAUUAUUGUUAGAUUAAAGUCAAUUUAAAUAUUUAAACGAGUAACGAGGGCUCGGAUUAGUAGAAGGUGUUAGUGAGGCCCUCCAAUAGACCACUCAAUGAUUUUUAGAUCCAACUGUUUAUAUAGUAAGUUCGGAUAUUUAAUUAAUAAAUUGAAGUUGCCUUAAGAUAUGCAUAGUAAAUCACAAGACCAAAGUGGAAUAACCAUUAGACAACUAAUAAAACCAUCAUUAAGUUUUUGUCUACUUUUAGCAAUAUUGCUUAGGUUUUCUAUUUCGUCUAAAUAUAUCUUAAGCGGCUCAUAUGUCCGAAUUACCCACACAGUGAAUAAAUGUCAUUCCAGUUCAAGGAUUCAUGUGCAGUUGUCACACACUAGUGUGAACCCAUCAAGUGUGUGUCUUGCUUCCCUUUUCAAUCAACAAGCUACCUCCCUG